rnacentral:lncRNA from 13 species
AGACAGGCACAUCAGUUCAUUUGUGCAGACAGACAGGCACAUCAGUUCAUUUGUGCAGACAGACAGGCACAUCAGUUCAUUUGUGCAGACAGACAGGCACAUCAGUUCAUUUGUGCAGACAGACAGGCACAUCAGUUCAUUUGUGCAGACAGACAGGCACAUCAGUUCAUUUGUGCAGACAGACAGGCACAUCAGUUCAUUUGUGCAGACAGACAGGCACAUCAGUUCAUUUGUGCAGACAGACAGGCACAUCAGUUCAUUUGUGCAGACAGACAGGCACGUGUCAUCACCAGAUUAUUUAAUUAUCCAGAUCACUGUUUUUAUUCUCUCUGUCACAGUCAGGGUCAAUUCCAUUUAAAUUCCAGUCAAUUCAGGAAGUACACUGACAUUCCAAUUCAUUUUAAUGAAUUAAUACAUUCCUCAUUACCUUGAACAUGCUCUCUCUCCUCAAGAGCCCCUCCUUCCGACCAAGGACCCAACAGACUCCCCCCCAUUACAGACCCCGAACACCCCCCCCAUCACCUACACCUAUAGAGCUCGAGGAACUUACAACAUCCAUCAUUACCACAGAGGCAACACCCCCUACAACAUCCCCUCAGCCUAUCACAGAGGAAUCCACACCCCAUCCACCAAUCGCGGAGGAGCUCACGUCACCUGCCCUGACUGAGAGCCCUCCCCCCACUACAACCCCUUCCCCAACGGACCUGCCUGAGCCAAUGGAUGUAGAGAGAGAAGAAGCCUCCUCAAAACCUGAAGCAGAGGACUCUGGGAAAAGCGAGAAGCCCUCUAGGAAAGUGGAGCGGAUGGAGGAAAAGAACGAGAAGACAACAGAGAAGGAGAGAUAUAAAGUUCCCCCCCAACCUGAGGAAGAGGGCCCUGGAGAGAGUGAGGGAUUGAGAGAAAGGGAAGCAGUGGUGGAGAAAGAGAAGGAGAUUGAGGCAGAAGGUAUCUGUCAUUGUGUAGGAUUUCAAUGGACUUCAUUAGUUAGUAGUUUUAUAACUCAUCGUGUUGCUAUGAACUAGACUGGACUAGUACAAUAGUAGGUACAAUAGUAUAAUGGAUGGAUGAAUAGAUGAAUGAAUGAAAAGAGGACGAACGAAGGAACAAACAAAAACACUAAUGAACAAACAAACAAAUGAUGUGACCUGUCAGUGCUCACAGUCUCUCCUACUCCUGAAGUAGAGGAGACAGGAAAACCUUCUGAGAAAGAAGGAGAGCAAGAGGGGAAAGAGGAGGACACAGAAAGCAACCCUGAAGGUAUCUUCCCUAGCUAGAUGAGUUGUACAUGUAUGGAGCUAGUGUGUAGUGCUAGUGAAUGUAUGAGUUGGUAUAGACCAGUGCAUAGGUGUGUAUAGUUCAAAAGCAAAUACAAGUUGGCGUACAGUAGAUUCUCCUUCAGACAUGACCAGUCAAUGUGUAGAGCUGUUGAUCAGUCGAAGCCUGUCGAAGUUGGAGCUACUGGGAACAGUCAGACAGCACUAAUCAACCUGUAGAGCAAUAGAUUUCAGAUCUCUCACUCUUCCUCUGUGGUGAUCCAGAGGAAGUUCCCAUACCCCCUGAAUGGGAAAUCUGGGGUCAGGAGACCUUAGAGCCCCCUGGGAGAGAGGAGAAGAAGAAGAAAAAGUGGGAGGAGGAAGAGAGUGAAGAGGAGGGAGAGUUUGCAAAAAAGAAAGGUAGAACUCAAGUACUGUACAUUGGCUAGUGUGUAGUGUACAUACCAUGUAGGCUAGGAUCCGGUAGACUCCACCUCUCCCAAGCCAUAUCCUUAAUACUGUAUAACUAGGUGAUGACCAACCCAUAAAGAUGAAACUAGCUGGUUUAGAACUGCCCUCAAGCAAGAUGUCUGACAAACUGUUUAAUUGCAGGACAUUGGGGCUCUGCUCCAUAACAUCACCCUUUCUAGAUGUAUAUCUGUAUGGACCUACCUCUCCAUACAAUGCAUUUGGAAAGGAUUCAGACCCCUUCACUUUUUCCACAUUUUGUUACGUUACAGCCUUAUUCUAUAAUGGAUUCAAUUGUUUUUUUCCCUCAUCAAUCUAACACAAUACCCCCUAAUUACAAAGAAAAAACAGAUUUUUAACUCAGUACUUUUUUUGAAGCACCUUGGGCUGUGAUUACAGCCUCGGGUCUUCUUGGGUAUGAUGCUACAAGCUUGGCACACCUGUAUUUGGGGAGUUUCUCCCGUUCUUCUCUGCAGAUCCUCUCAAGGAGUGUCGCUGCACAGCUGUUUUCAGGUCUCUCCAGAGAUGUUCGAUCGAGUUCAAGUCCGGGAUCUGGCAGGGCCACUCAAGGACAUUCAGAGACUUGUCCCGAAGCCACUCCUGCGUUGUCUUGGCUGUGUGCUUAGGGUCGUUGUCCUGUUGGAAGGUGAACCUUCAUGUGCCUUUUACUGAGGAGUUCCUUCUGGAAUGUUCUCCCAUCUCCACAGAGAAACUCUGGAGCUUUGUCAGAGUGACCAUUGGGUUCUUGGUCACCUCCCUGACCAAGGCCCUUCUCCCCCGAUUGCUCUGUUUGGCCGGGCGGCCAGCUCUAGGAAGGGUCUUGGUUGUUCCAAACUUCUUCCAUUUAGGAAUGAUGGAGGCCACUGUUCAUGGGGACCUUCAAUGCUGCAGACAUUUUUUGGUCACCUUUUCCCAGAUCUAUGCCUCGACACAAUCCUGUCUCGGAGCUCUAAGAUCAAUUCCUUCGACCUCAUGGCUUGGUUGUUUCUCUGACAUGCACUGUCAACUAUGGGACCUUAUAUAGACGGGUGUGAUCGUUUCCAAAUCAUGUCCAAUAAAUUGAAUUUACCACAGGUGGACCCCAAUCAAGAUGUAGAAACAUCUCGAUGAUGAACAGAAACAGGAUGCACUGGAGCUCAAUUUCGAGUCUCAUAGCAAAGGGACUGAAUACUUAAAUAUUUAUGUAAAUAAGGUACAUCUGUUUUUUUAUUUUUAACAAAUUAGCAAAAACCUUUUUUUGUUUUGUCAUUAUGGGGUAUUGUGUGUAGAUUGACUCAGGUUGGAUCCAGGAAACCCAUCUAAAACAAAGAUUCGUUCAUCUCCUAAAGGGAUUCUCAAGCUCUUGAUCUCAGGAGGAGAGCCUGAGGCCAGACAGUUGUAUGGGAUCAUAUACGAUGAUUUCAAAGGUAAGACACUGAACAAGAAUAGCUAGCAGGGGAGUGACUGAGGAUGCUUACAGGACACUGGAGCGCCAUGGAAUCCUCUUUUGUAGGCUUACCAUCAGUGGUGCUAGUGGAGUAGCUAGCAUUGAGUUGAGUUAGUGAAGAGUUAGUAGAGUGUUAUUGAGUCAGUAGAGUUAGUAGAGUGGUUUUGAGUUAGUUGAGUAGCAUUGAGUCACUAGACUCAGUUGAAUAGCAUUGAGUCAGUAGAGCUAGUUGAAUAGCAUUGAGUCAGUAGAGCUAGUUGAAUAGCAUUGAGUCAGUAGAGUUAGUUGAAUAGCAUUGAGUCAGUAGAGUUAGUUGAGUGGCAUGGAGUCAGUAGUAGAGUAGUAUCGAAGAAAACAGUUUUUGGAAAUGGUCUCUGUCUGAAUGACCAGAUUGGUGUCAAAAACUGUGGAAAGAUUCCAUCUCUCUGCAUGUUUCAGUUCUUCCUUCUCUGACUGUGUCAUUUCUUAUCAUCAUGUUGGUAUUGUUUGGCUCACAAGGUAAGCAUCAAGAUGUCCUAGUUACUGUCACUAUCUUGUCAUUGCUAUCACUAUUCACCGUUAAAAACAGGUCAAUUAGCUCCCUGUCCAACACCUCUCUUGUGUCAGAUAUCAUUUCGUCCCCCAGAUUUAACAACUGUCAGUAUCUCCCCUUGUUACUAUUUUCUUUUACAGCCUUCCAUAAAUAAAGUCCCAUCUUGACUUUGCAUAUAUUUGUGGAACUAUGUCCCGGUGCUCUCUCUCUCUGCCAUCUGUGGAACUAUGUCCCGGUGCUCUCUCUCUCUGCCGUCUGUGGAACUAUGUCCCGGUGCUCUCUCUCUCUGCCGUCUGUGGAACUAUGUCCCGGUGCUCUCUCUCUCUGCCGUCUGUGGAGUAAUUGGGCAGUUAUAUAUAAUUACCGUGUAACGUUUCUCCCCUAACCUUUGUUUUAUAGCUGAGAGAAGCAUUUUAUGUGUGUGUGUGUGUGUGCCUGUGUGUGUGUGUGUGUGUGUGUGCCUGUGUGUGUGUGUGUGUGUGUGUGUAUUUUAUGUGACUCUUCUCACCGGCGGUUCUCCCCUCUCAAAACAGCCCAUAAAUAUUUCAGCGGCGUCAUCAACCAAACAAUAAUAAAAUAAUAAUUUGACGGCUGAUUAAACAGCUGAACUUAGACUUUUUAAUGUGCAUUUAAAUGUGUAUUUGCAUAAACAUGCUUAGUAAACUCCUCUUUAGAGGACAGCGAUGCCUCGUAGCGCACACACACACACGUUGCAGCCGACUUCUGAAGCUUAAUAAAAGCUUAAUUAUGUACAAACCUCAGCCAAGAAUAUCACAGGAAGGAUUCACUCACUCACACACACACACUUUGGUUGGGGACGCGCUACAUUGAGAUUUGGUCUGUAAAUACAUUAAUAAAACCAGGUGAUUAUGACAUAUGGGUUUUUAGCUUCCUGGUUUACCAUAUUAAAUUCAACUUAGUUGAAGGAAGUCACCCUGUGGACUGCACAGAUUGAGGAAUAUAGAACAGACAGUAUCAUAUGUACAAGCAGGUAUAGCUUCUGUUCCAAAUGGCACCCUAUACCCUACAGUCCUAUGAGCCCUGGUCAAAAGUAGUCCACUACAUAGGGAAUAGGGUGCCAUUUGGGAUGCAGUAUAGACACUGUAUAAGCAUCAGAUCGAUAGAGAAUAGAUGAAGACCUACUGUAUAAUGGGAGGUAGAAGUUGUGUCAGGAAUGAGGAUCUUCUUACACCAGGCCUCUAAUCUUCCCUGCAUUAAAACACAAACAAAUCCCUGACCACAACACACACACGGCCAGCAUACACACACACACACGUGUGCAUGUUUGCACAAAACAGGCACAAAUAUACACAGGCAUAACACAAACAGGCAAACACACAGGACAACCUCCCCACGAAAUACACACACACACACACACACACACACACCAGUAUAGACUGGUGGGGGGGGGGGUUAUCUGAAGUUAUCUGAAGUCUGUCUUUAACAAGUUGUGAGUCAGACACUAAGAUAAUGAAUCGAUGAGGAUGCCUUUUGACUCGCAGAUGGACAAACGCAGGGCACGAUAUUUGCAGCGUUCCCAAAUCAUUCAUACACCUAAAGCUACUGUAACUGUUUCUUACAAUAAGGGCCACGACGACUGGAUGUGAUUUCAAACAAUUCUGGUGGUCCAGAGACCGUUUCUCAAUGGGAUCAUUCUCUAGCGUUCUUUGGUCCUAACCAUCCUCUAACAUCUCCAACCUACUGUAUGCCAUGUCUCNNNNNNNNNNAAGAGGGAGUGGAGGAGAAAGAGGGCGUGGAGGAGAAAGGAUAAAAAGAUUGGGAAAAAGUACAGGCCUAAUCGUUGUGCAUUGAAUUUAGAGUGUAAUGGAACAUUCACGUGUAGAAGUCUACUUGUUGCCAUGAUGUUGUGAACAGACAGAGUAAUACACAUUACUCACCAACUUUCAGGUACAGAAAAGAAAAUCGAUGAUAGAUGAGGUCUGUCAAGAGCCUGCUAUUGUCAUGGAUCAUAUUAGCAUGCCAUUAGUUAAUUGAGCCGUGACUAUGAUGAAGUAGCCAUAUGAUGUGCAGUCCCCUUGGUCCCACUCUGAUGGUAAAAAAAAAUGUUUCACUGGUACUCGCACACAGCCUCCUCAAAACCUGAAGCAGAGGACUCUGGGAAAAGCGAG